AUGUGCCAGAAAGAGGCCACGGUAGCACAGUGGUUAAAGCUGCUAGCUGUAGGAAAGGCUGCUGACUGGAGGGUGAACAGUUCAAAACCACGAGUUAGGUCACUGUGUGUAUGUCUUUGGCGGUGGGACCAGCUUGACAAUCCUAGGUCAACCAAUUGUCCCUCCUUCGGUGUCUGUCUUCCCUCCAUCCCAGGAGGAGCUCAAGAGCAAGAACAAAGCCACCUUGGCCUGUCUGAUGGAUGGCUUUUACCCACGUGUUAUCCAGGUUGAGUGGAAGGCCAAUGACCGCACCAUCUCUGCUGGAGUCGAGACCAGCACGCCAGUCAAACAGGGUGACAAAUACGUGGCCAGCAGUUACUUGACUCUCAGUCGGUCUGAAUGGGAAGCUAAUGAGGAGUACACCUGCAAGGUUACCCAUGAAAGCAAGGCCAUUGAGAAGGUGGUCAGUCAAUCGGCAUGUUCUUAAAUGGUGGAUGUCUCAGUAGUUUGAAAGCUUCACUUGUAGUCCUCAGAUCUCCAUCUCAAAAUAGAGUCAUCC